rnacentral:rRNA from 1 species
UACAGAGGGGGCAAGCGUUGUUCGGAAUUACUGGGCGUAAAGGGUGCGUAGGCGGCGCGGUAAGUCGGGUGUGAAAUCUCGGAGCUUAACUCCGAAACUGCAUUCGAUACUGCCGUGCUUGAGGACUGGAGAGGAGACUGGAAUUUACGGUGUAGCGGUGAAAUGCGUAGAUAUCGAGAGGAACACCUGCGGCGAAGGCGGGUUGCCGGGCUGACACUGACGCUGAGGCGCGAAAGCUAGGGGAGCGAACGGG